AACACCAAAUACCAAAUAUGCUCUCUAACCCCAUGACGCCCGUAACAGCAAAACUAGUACUCAUAUGGCGCGCAUCAUUUGAGAUGAAAUAACAAUUAGCCCUAAACAAUAAAAACAAUAGAGGCAAAUUCUGGUUAGAGAGAUCAUAGAUCAUAAACUACAGGAGCAGCUUGCCUGGGAAGUCGGAAUCAAGAUAGAUUCUCAAUCUCCAAAGAAGAGGUGAAAAUGAUAAAAGCGGUGACAAUAAUGAACCCCCAAGGCAAAUUUCGCCUAGUCAAAUUUUAUGAUUUUUUGUUUUAUGCAGUGGCCCAGAGAAUGUCUGCAAUUUCAUGGAGGUCGAUUCUAUCUUUAGUCCGGCAUUAAAUACUUCUGCCUCUCGCUCGCAAUUUGAUUAAAAUGGCAGAUUCUAUGCUUUUUGUGAAGGAUUCUUUUUUCCAUCUAUGGCAGGAUAGUCGUCUGGGUACAAACACUAUGCAACUCUCUACUAUGUGUUUGUAUUUGAUACCUGUGAAAAUGAGCUUGCGGUGCUAGAUCUCAUUCAAGGUCGUUACCAAUAAUGAAUUAUUGAAAUGCAAUUAUAUUUGGGCGUGAGUGUUAUGUUUCAAUUUUCAAAAGUAAAUGUUGGAAACACAUAGUAAAGUGGGUUUCAGUCAAAAUGAUUGAUUAAUUGGAAGUUCAUUACCAAAUCGAGGAUAUGGUAGGGAUGUUAAUACAUUAUCGAUCAUUGGGUUUGCACAUUGUAAUAAAAUUUCUAUGGUCAUGGAAGAACACAAAUUUAGAGAAUAUCUAUUUUAUAUGAUAGUUAUUGCUAAGAUGGAGUGGCUGUCAUUUUAGUAAUUAUUUUACAUCCAAAUUUGAACAAUAGAUAAGAAUAGCUAUUCCAUCUUAUCAUAUUUCAUGCUUUUCAAUGGACCAAAUGAAGCCUACAAGUAUGCAUGGUUAAUUAAAAAGACAGUAAAGUGUAACUAAUGCACAUCCUGGAGGAAGAUACAUCGGUUGUGUGCAAUACUUUGUUGUUUGGAUUGGUUUUAUGGAACCGAUGUCGCUUUCCCUUGAUUGAAUUUUUGUGCAGUUCAUACUUCAACCAGUGCCUUCCGAAUUCUGAUAAACACCCAAUGUCUUUUUUGAGCUUCAAAAUCUUUAACUCCAUCAACUGAUAUAACUACAUCUUCUUUGUUCAUGAGCUGGCAGCUUGCUGCUUUUGUAAUCUUAUUGUUUAUCACGAGAUGAAGGUACUUUAUUGCUUAAGAUUAGGGCUGGAUAACUUUCAGGAUCUGCCCAUGAAUAGUUGACUUCCCAUCUGAAAUAUUAAAAUGUUCUCUUUAAGUUUAGAGCUUGUAAUUAAACUUCCGUUUCUUCAGUUUUUGUAGAAACACUGGGCAAAUGCUUCGGAAAUGUGUGUGAGCUUGACAUGGUGUUCAAUUACAGCAAGUUGCAUACAAUUUUAGAUGAGAGUUUUUGGAGGUCAGGUUCUUGAAACAAGUUCCACUGAAGUUAAGAAGGCUGUUGAAGAAAUAUCGAAGUGACUCUCCCCCUCUCUUUCACACGCAUAAACACAAAUAUUUUUUAUCAUCUAUCUAAUGUGUUACAUGUGAAACAGGCUAGAAGCAUUCUCAAAUUCCAUCACUUUAGUUUCCAAAACUGUUUCUGGUUGGCGAAGUCGACAACACAUUGAUGUAGAGAGAUGUUAAAAUGAUUGCGAUUAACCCAUCGAGCAUCAUGGCGCUCAGACCUGAAAUGGUUUCUGAGACGUUAUACUUACAUUAAGCAAGCUGCUAUGGUGGUCAUAGUUUCUAGCAUUGGUGAAUAUUUUAAAUGAUAGUUUGUGGAAAACUUUCAGAUUAGUCUACAAGAUUGGAAGUUAAUGAGUGAUUUAAAUCACGAGCUUCAAUUCAUUCUGUUGCUGAUGACCUGGGAUAAUAUGGAAGUCCAAAUAAAGGAUCAGAGGGGUGAUUGUUCCCCACGAAUAGUUCAUCAUAACACAGUAUUCGAAUAACAUCAAUAUGAAUAGGAAACCUUAGAAACUUAGAGCAGCAAGUUUGUGUAAUUGAAUUUAUUGGCUUUUAACAUCCUGGAGAACUAGAUGUGCAGCGUUACGUCCGGGCGCACCCAUCACACCACCACCUGGAUGGCUUCCACUUCCGCACAGGUACAGUCCUCGAAGAGGUGUCCUAUAGUUUGACCUGUAUCAUCAAGGAAAUUUUAGUUAUAAUAAAUUUGUUCAAUGCGCGA